GACGAACGCUGGCGGCGUGCCUAACACAUGCAAGUCGAGCGAUGAAUCGCUUCUUCGGAAGCGACGAUUAGCGGCGGACGGGUGAGUAACACGUGGGUAACCUGCCUCAAAGAGGGGAAUAGCCUUCCGAAAGGAAGAUUAAUACCGCAUAAUAUGUUUUUGGUCGCAUGAUCAGAACAUCAAAGGAGCAAUCCGCUUUGAGAUGGACCCCGCGGCGCAUUAGCUAGUUGGUGAGGUAACGGCUCACCAAGGCGACGAUGCGUAGCCGACCUGAGAGGGUGAUCGGCCACAUUGGAACUGAGACACGGUCCAGACUCCUACGGGUGGCUG
rnacentral:rRNA from 1 species